AUCUAGCCGAAGAGUCCCAAAUUGAACGAAACGCGCGUCCUGGAU
rnacentral:hammerhead_ribozyme from 1 species